rnacentral:rRNA from 1 species
GGGUUGUGAGGUUAAGCGACUAAGCGUACACGGUGGAUGCCCUGGCAGUCAGAGGCGAUGAAGGACGUGCUAAUCUGCGAUAAGCGUCGGUAAGGUGAUAUGAACCGUUAUAACCGGCGAUUUCCGAAUGGGGAAACCCAGUGUGAUUCGUCACACUAUCAUUAACUGAAUCCAUAGGUUAAUGAGGCGAACCGGGGGAACUGAAACAUCUAAGUACCCCGAGGAAAAGAAAUCAACCGAGAUUCCCCCAGUAGCGGCGAGCGAACGGGGAGCAGCCCAGAGCCUGAAUCAGUGUGUGUGUUAGUGGAAGCGUCUGGAAAGGCGCGCGAUACAGGGUGACAGCCCCGUACACAAAAAUGCACAUGCUGUGAGCUCGAUGAGUAGGGCGGGACACGUGGUAUCCUGUCUGAAUAUGGGGGGACCAUCCUCCAAGGCUAAAUACUCCUGACUGACCGAUAGUGAACCAGUACCGUGAGGGAAAGGCGAAAAGAACCCCGGCGAGGGGAGUGAAAAAGAACCUGAAACCGUGUACGUACAAGCAGUGGGAGCACAGAGCAAUCUGUGUGACUGCGUACCUUUUGUAUAAUGGGUCAGCGACUUAUAUUCUGUAGCAAGGUUAACCGAAUAGGGGAGCCGAAGGGAAACCGAGUCUUAACUGGGCGUUAAGUUGCAGGGUAUAGACCCGAAACCCGGUGAUCUAGCCAUGGGCAGGUUGAAGGUUGGGUAACACUAACUGGAGGACCGAACCGACUAAUGUUGAAAAAUUAGCGGAUGACUUGUGGCUGGGGGUGAAAGGCCAAUCAAACCGGGAGAUAGCUGGUUCUCCCCGAAAGCUAUUUAGGUAGCGCCUCGUGAAUUCAUCUCCGGGGGUAGAGCACUGUUUCGGCAAGGGGGUCAUCCCGACUUACCAACCCGAUGCAAACUGCGAAUACCGGAGAAUGUUAUCACGGGAGACACACGGCGGGUGCUAACGUCCGUCGUGAAGAGGGAAACAACCCAGACCGCCAGCUAAGGUCCCAAAGUCAUGGUUAAGUGGGAAACGAUGUGGGAAGGCCCAGACAGCCAGGAUGUUGGCUUAGAAGCAGCCAUCAUUUAAAGAAAGCGUAAUAGCUCACUGGUCGAGUCGGCCUGCGCGGAAGAUGUAACGGGGCUAAACCAUGCACCGAAGCUGCGGCAGCGACGCUUAUGCGUUGUUGGGUAGGGGAGCGUUCUGUAAGCCUGUGAAGGUGUGCUGUGAGGCAUGCUGGAGGUAUCAGAAGUGCGAAUGCUGACAUAAGUAACGAUAAAGCGGGUGAAAAGCCCGCUCGCCGGAAGACCAAGGGUUCCUGUCCAACGUUAAUCGGGGCAGGGUGAGUCGACCCCUAAGGCGAGGCCGAAAGGCGUAGUCGAUGGGAAACAGGUUAAUAUUCCUGUACUUGGUGUUACUGCGAAGGGGGGACGGAGAAGGCUAUGUUGGCCGGGCGACGGUUGUCCCGGUUUAAGCGUGUAGGCUGGUUUUCCAGGCAAAUCCGGAAAAUCAAGGCUGAGGCGUGAUGACGAGGCACUACGGUGCUGAAGCAACAAAUGCCCUGCUUCCAGGAAAAGCCUCUAAGCAUCAGGUAACAUCAAAUCGUACCCCAAACCGACACAGGUGGUCAGGUAGAGAAUACCAAGGCGCUUGAGAGAACUCGGGUGAAGGAACUAGGCAAAAUGGUGCCGUAACUUCGGGAGAAGGCACGCUGAUAUGUAGGUGAAGUCCCUCGCGGAUGGAGCUGAAAUCAGUCGAAGAUACCAGCUGGCUGCAACUGUUUAUUAAAAACACAGCACUGUGCAAACACGAAAGUGGACGUAUACGGUGUGACGCCUGCCCGGUGCCGGAAGGUUAAUUGAUGGGGUUAGCGCAAGCGAAGCUCUUGAUCGAAGCCCCGGUAAACGGCGGCCGUAACUAUAACGGUCCUAAGGUAGCGAAAUUCCUUGUCGGGUAAGUUCCGACCUGCACGAAUGGCGUAAUGAUGGCCAGGCUGUCUCCACCCGAGACUCAGUGAAAUUGAACUCGCUGUGAAGAUGCAGUGUACCCGCGGCAAGACGGAAAGACCCCGUGAACCUUUACUAUAGCUUGACACUGAACAUUGAGCCUUGAUGUGUAGGAUAGGUGGGAGGCUUUGAAGUGUGGACGCCAGUCUGCAUGGAGCCGACCUUGAAAUACCACCCUUUAAUGUUUGAUGUUCUAACGUUGACCCGUAAUCCGGGUUGCGGACAGUGUCUGGUGGGUAGUUUGACUGGGGCGGUCUCCUCCUAAAGAGUAACGGAGGAGCACGAAGGUUGGCUAAUCCUGGUCGGACAUCAGGAGGUUAGUGCAAUGGCAUAAGCCAGCUUGACUGCGAGCGUGACGGCGCGAGCAGGUGCGAAAGCAGGUCAUAGUGAUCCGGUGGUUCUGAAUGGAAGGGCCAUCGCUCAACGGAUAAAAGGUACUCCGGGGAUAACAGGCUGAUACCGCCCAAGAGUUCAUAUCGACGGCGGUGUUUGGCACCUCGAUGUCGGCUCAUCACAUCCUGGGGCUGAAGUAGGUCCCAAGGGUAUGGCUGUUCGCCAUUUAAAGUGGUACGCGAGCUGGGUUUAGAACGUCGUGAGACAGUUCGGUCCCUAUCUGCCGUGGGCGCUGGAGAACUGAGGGGGGCUGCUCCUAGUACGAGAGGACCGGAGUGGACGCAUCACUGGUGUUCGGGUUGUCAUGCCAAUGGCACUGCCCGGUAGCUAAAUGCGGAAGAGAUAAGUGCUGAAAGCAUCUAAGCACGAAACUUGCCCCGAGAUGAGUUCUCCCUGACUCCUUGAGAGUCCUGAAGGAACGUUGAAGACGACGACGUUGAUAGGCCGGGUGUGUAAGCGCAGCGAUGCGUUGAGCUAACCGGUACUAAUGAACCGUGAGGCUUAACCUUACAACGCCGAAG